ACUCUACAAAAACCCAAAACACAAAAUCAACAAGAAGAAACCAAUAUGGGUUUCGAUGCCCAUCAUAUGAAGUAUGACCAAUCCAAUAACAAAAGUGAACCAUCCUGUAAUUAACCUUGCAUAUAAGAACUCAAGAGUUCUCGAAAGAUGAAACAAAAAAGCAGUUCAAAGAUUUUAAAGGAAAACACACCUCCACUAUACAUAGAUAUACAAUGAAUGAAAAGGGAGGAGAGUUUCUCUGUUGACCGAUGCACAUAGCACAACACACUUUCAUAUAUAUGAACAAAUCAAACCUAGAACCACUCUUAAAAGCUGCUCACUCUCCACAAUUUGAAGCAUACGCAACCAAACACGAAAUCGGCAAAACUAAGAUAAAUCUCUAAUUCACAGAUUUCACAAAACCAUUAGACAAGCACAUAACUUGAAAUUAAAACCUAUCAAAACCUGAAACAAAUAAGAGAACACAAUUCAAUCACUGGUCAACAAAUUAAAACGGAGAUGAACAAAAUUAAAUAUAGAUAGAAACACUCCCCAAACAGACCUAGAAACCAUUAUUUUGAUAUGAUGACUUUGAAUCCGCGAGCGUGGUUGUGUGGUCUUGAAAGAUCUGUCCACUCCUGUAAUUUGGAGACUCUCCUUUCGCGUUACUCCCAAAAUCCAGAUUAUUGGUGAAUCCUUAAUCAAAAUAUCAAACACUAAGAAGAAUUAGGGGCAAACUCACUGGCUAAAAUGUGGAAACGGCAACAGAUCUAAGAAACGAUGAUGGAGCCAUGGAGCCAACACGCUUCAGAUCUGUUGUUCCAAAGAGUUGUACGCAUAGAUCCUUGUUCCAAAGAGUUGUAUGCAUCCUUGCCGUCCAAAACUCGGAAUUUUAACCAUCAAACACAGCCAAAAGCUGUGAGGAUUGCACGUUAAUCGCCAUAACACUCGACUUUUUACUACCCUUUUACUUCACUCUUUUAGAAAAACUUGCACAGGUUCCACAUAUCAGAUAAAGCUCUGCUACCAUGUUGAGAAUCACUCAAAAACAGGUUUACUUUUCUCUUUCUCUUGAUUUCCCUCAAAACGCUUCAGAAAAUUCUCUCUCAAAAACUCAUUUUCAUUUCUUUUUCAAUACCUUAAUACAACACCAACGUUCACAUAUUUAAUACCUCAAGACCUCUCAAGGGACGUAUGCCCUCCAUGGGCAAGCCAAACAAUCAUAUUUCAACACUCCCUCUUGAUCUUUUGUGUUGCUCUUCAGAUUUCAGCUCAAGAUUUUGAAGCGUUCUUCUUUUCUUGUUUCUCUGGUCUACAAUGGAGGAGCUCUCUUCAAAGCAUCAGCAUAGCUCAUAGGUUGGUUCAAUUUCUUACUUUCCAUCUUGAAUGGACUUUUCUUCAUCUCACUUGUUUUCCUUCGGUUUCUCCAAUUCUCUUAUCUCCCUCCUGGUUGAUAGUCUCACACACUUCUCUUCGUUCUUCAUAAAUCUUCACAGAUUUGAGGUUUUCUAUCUUCUGAAUAUAUUUUUCAUCAAACGUUAAGUCUCCAAACUUAAACACUGAACUUGAUGUCUUGUGAUUUUCUAAACACAGCUUGCUCAGGUUUGAACCAUUGACGUUGGGAGCUUUUUGUGGAGACGACCCUUCAUGUAUAUCAUGAGCCACCACCAUUAAGGUUUCUCUAAUAGAAGAUAUCUUGAGAUGAAAACUGUUCUUGAUCAUUUGAACUUCAACUAUACUCUUUCCAGCUUUGUCAAGAAUGACGCAGCUGUGUUGUUUAAAAACAACUUCAUAUCCAUUCUCAAUCAUCUGAGAAACACUCAACAAAUUCUUGGUGAUUUCAGAUGCUUGUUUGGAGUCAUGUGGUGAGUGCAUCCACUGUCAAUGAGCCAAGUAUCCUCUUCAAACGAUUCUUGAGUUGCUAGUCUUGCUGUGAACAUUUAAUAUGCUUGUUCUUCUACCUCUUUUACCUCCUCAGGUUCUUGUUCUUGAUUUACUUCAGCUUGUUCAGAUUUUCUUUUUUUGCAAUCUCUCAUGAUAUGCCCUUGCUUCCCACAGUUGAAACAUCGUCUAGUUUCUCUGUUGCUGAAGUUAUUGUUGUUGUUGGCUUCAGGCAUGUUUCUCCCAUGCUUGAUAAAUCAGACUUCUUCAUUAUGAGUUGCCCUUUUACAAACACCUCACCACCUUUUUCUCUCAAGCCAUACUGACUUGAGCUUCCCCUCUCAUUGCCUUUUGAUUUCUGGUUACUGAAACGUGCCACAAACGCUCCAUCUGUGUCUUUUUCUUCACCGGAAAAAACUUUUUUCUCAUGAGCUUCAAGAGAACCGAUAAGCUCAGCAAAGAGAGGAUUUUGUCGAAGAUAGAAUCAGCAACCGCAUGUUGAAUGAUCUGAAGAGCGGAAGUAUCUUUGACUUUGAGAUCCUUCACAUUUGCAGCUUCCUUUAAAUGCUCUGCUCUGGGAGUCUCUAAGACUUUGGAUGAUGAUAAUUCUGGGACACCUUCUUUGACCAUAUCCCAUAGAUCCUUGUUCCUAAGAGUUUCACGCAUCCUUGCCGCCCAAAACUCGUAAUUUUGACCAUCAAACACAGCCACAAGCUGUGAGGAUUUCAGGUUAAUUGCCAUAACACUCGAAUUUUUACUACCCGUUAGAAAAACUUGCACAGGUUCCACAGAUCAGCUAGAGCUCUGCUACCAUGUUGAGAAUCACUGCAAAAUAGGUUUACUUUUCUCUUUCUCUUGAUUUUCCUCAAAACGUUUCAGAACAUUCUAAUGUGUUUGUAUUUUAUAGGUUUUAACCAUAGUUUUUAGGUUUGUUUUGAGUCUUUUAUUGAGUCAAAGUGUGC